GAAGUGGUGCCAGAAACGUCUAUGGUGCGGAUUGCACGUCCGUGCAUGCAGGUUCAAGUCCUGCCCACUUCU
rnacentral:tRNA from 1 species